rnacentral:rRNA from 1 species
AUUGAACGCUGGCGGCAGGCCUAACACAUGCAAGUCGAACGAGUGGCGGACGGGUGAGUAAUGUCUGGGAAACUGCCCGAUGGAGGGGGAUAACUACUGGAAACGGUAGCUAAUACCGCAUACCAUCGGAUGUGCCCAGAUGGGAUUAGCUAGUGGGUGGGGUAACGGCUCACCAAGGCGACGAUCCCUAGCUGGUUUGAGAGGAUGACCAGCCACACUGGAACUGAGACACGGCCCAGACUCCUACGGGAGGCAGCAGUGGGGAAUAUUGCACAAUGGGCGCAAUCCUGAUGCAGCCAUGCCGCGUGUAUGAAGAAGGCCUUCGGGUUGUAAAGUACUUUUGGCGAGGAGGCGUUAUUCGCAGAAGAAGCACCGGCUAACUCCGUGCCAGCAGCCGCGGUAAUAC